GCACUGAGGCGAAAAAGACGAACACACAAUGGCGGAUGUUGAAUAGCUGACAGGUGAAUGUCUUUUGCCGGCAAGAAUGCAACGGCGUAAAUGCUAGAGUUCAAAGAAAUGAUGUCCUCAAGGCUAAAUUCAAACAGUGUAUUAACAGGACAACAAACACUGAUUUUCUUUUACUGAUAUUACUGCGAAUGAGAGAAAAUGAUGGGAACAUCUUCAAGUGAUUUGUAACAUUAGUUUGGUGAUAACAAGCGCAAGAAUUAACCUGGUGCUGACCAAGAUGUUCUACCCUAUGGAAUACCACCACAUAUUGCAUGAGGAAUGGAGCACUGAGGAUUUCAUCAGGUGGUGAUGACGGGUCAGGUGGAUAGGAGAAUGUUGCUUGGAAGGCAUCCACAUGUGGGAAUAUCUUUUGAUGAGAUGAGGUCUGACGUCAUUAUUGAAAGGCCAAUCCGAUUUCCCAUUUGAAAGGACCCAGUUAUACCAGGAGGAAGAAUAGGGUCUGGGCAGUGGACUUUGGUUGAGGAAUAUACCAAGCCGAUACUAUGACUACAAAGUUCACCCGAUACAGUCUCAUCAUGAUGAGGGGUGAUGCAAAGAUCCAGUUGGUCUUCAAACGGCUCGAGCCUGCAUGGGGAACUUUACGUUACGUGAGGGAAACGUUCCUGUUAAAUGUCAAGUCCGUAAUAAUGUAAAUAAAUUUAGAAAAAUCAAACAAGCACAAUACUGAAAAUUUAAUCAAGGAUGAGAUAUGUGACAUUUAAACUUGUGCUUGUUUGUCACAAAAAACCCUAUCACAGUAAUUGGUUCAUUGAGAAAGUCGAUGCUGUCUUACACUCAUUUUCUUAUUUUGAAAAUAUUUUGAUGUAUGAAUUAUACUUUAUUUCCAUUUUUGCAGAAUUGAAAAUAAUGAAAAUAUUAAUUUGUUCACAAGAGAUUGAAACAAUGCAAAUUUUACACAUUUAGGGAGAAACUAUAUGCUUCACAUUAUGCAAAGGAAACAUGUGAAAUUAAGCGGACUUCCAAAUAUAACUUUCUUAUUUUACAUUCAAUUUGAUGAACUUUUGAACAAAUCAUGCUUGUUUGGUUUUUCUUUUCAAUUUUAUGUUGGGGGUAGACAUCCUCUUUAAAUAACAACGAGGAUUUAAAACUUUUAAACAACUGAAAUUUUAAACAAUCGCUGUUGGAGUGACGGGCUUAAAAAUCGUGAUUACAACUUCAAACAGUGUUUUUACAGUGUAUAAACCUUGCCCUUUUUUUUGCCCAUGAAAUUUCGCAUCUGGCCGUUUGUCCUGGUCGGUCGGCCAGGGCUUCUGGUGCCAACUUUCGGUACCAAAGCUUACAUACCAGAUAAAUUUUGAUAUUCACUUGUAUCUUGCGAAAUAUGAUUCAAGAAAUUGUGAUUGAUCUAGUUUAUUUUAUACUUAAAGGUAGUUCACCCUGGCAAAAGAUCAUUGUAAAAAUAGCAGAAAAAUAUUGGUGAAGGUUUGAGGAAAUCUAAUAUCGUGUAGUAAAAAAAAAUCAGUGAAAUGUCAAUUUCUCAAAAAAUGAAAAUAGUUUUCAUUGUAUCUUCAGUAUAUUACCAGAAAAAGAAAAUAAAUUCUAGCCAUCAUGAACAAUUAAAAAAAAUCUAUAAAUUUUAUAUUAACAUAACGGGGCAGCUGCUCGUUUAUGACAUCACAAAUCCAAAACUUGACAUUCUAAUAACUUUCUUAUCCUCAGACCGUCACCAAUAUUUUUUUCUGGUAUUAUUACAACAAACCUUUCUUCAGGUCGAACUUUCCCUUUUAAAAUGGUACUCCAGGCUGUAUUCUAUUAUAUUCAUUUAAAUCUUUAAAUCAUCAAGAAUUAAAAAAUUGGACAGAUAUCUGAUUGAAUGUGUAAGAUAAUUAUUACUGCAACUUAAUUUAUUACAAGGGGAAAUAUAUGUUUCAAAAUAUAAUAUAAUUGUGAUUUCGUGUAAUGACAUAAGAAAAUAGAACGUGGGGACAUUGCGUCAUCAGCCCUCAGUGUUGAUAUUCAUGACGGCGUGCCGUUUCCGCAUUUUUUUUUUUUUUUUUUUACUAAACUUUAACAUUCAAUAACUUCGUUAUUUGUUAUAUUUUAAUGAAACUUUCAGCAUUUUGCUCGGUCAUUAUCUUACUCUAUUAACUUUGAUGAGAAAAAGAUUAUUUUCAAUUCGGAGUACCAGUUUAACAGCUAUAUGUACAUGUAUUUGCGGUGUAGCCUAUACAGCCUAGAUCAAGGUGCACUUUGGACAUCAAAAUAUAUAGUUUGUUGUAUGUAGAAUAGUUUUAUCUAUGCCAACUUGUUCAUCAAAACACAAGAGUUAUCACCCUGCAACAUUUGUUAUAAUUAUGAGCAGCAACAUAACGUGGAGUGGUAGACGUGUUACAGACACAGAACUAGAAAAGUGGAUUUUCUAGUGUCAUUUUUCUUUAUACAUCAACUUCGAACUUAUUGGUCGUUUCUGACAAUUAAAGCAAUUCACAUUUAUUUUAAUCCAAAAUGUGCAUGUCAAUCUUCGCAUAAAUAACCCCCGUAAAUGGUGUAACAGCCCCAAAGUGGUAUUUUUCAGCCCUACUGAACCAUGCUCACCCCUCACUCAGCCAACUCACGAAACCCAAACAGAAGUUGCUACCGGAAACAAAGCUUUACCACGAAGAUUUUUAUUAUAUGGCUUUAUUAUUUUUUUUUUGCAGGAGUGCUAUGUAACACUCCUGCAUAGUCCUGUUACAAAAGUUGUUCCCUGAUCUUGGCUAUUAGUAUUGAUAUCAGUAUGGAUAUUUUAUAUACAGUGGUGCUAAAUAGUUGGUGAAUCCCACCAGAAAAUGCAUUCCUUCAUGCUGAGUGUUGAAUGCAGACAGCAACAAUACAAUGUCAGGCAAGUCCAGAGAAACAAACUUUAUUGAAUGCAAUAUUUUAUCUCAUGACUUCAAGAUUAAAUAUCUAAAAGAUGACAGAACUUGAAUAUUUUGGAAUGUGUUCAUUUUAUCUGGUGGGGUUCACUAUUGAACUGUUUAGCAUCACUGUAGGCUUAUGUUCAGUAUACCCAGGUAUAUGUACUAAUUGUCGUAUACCUCUAAAUACUUUUUAUUACUCAAGAUUGUUCAUGACUGGGUAGUAAUUUUACUCUUUAUCUAUUUUGUUUAUCACCAUUGUUCGGUAGUAAUAAUACUUGUAUUUUCUGGAAUCUUGCAGAAACAAAAUGAUUGCAUGAAUGCAUGUAUGAAUGAAUACAAAUACAUGGAUGGAUGAAUGAAUGACUAUUAAUCAUUCACCCGGUCCAUUCGUCCAUUUAUUCAUUAUUUUAUUCAUUUAUACAUGCAUUCAAUUAAAUGAAUGAGUUACACCU